AGUGAACGCUGGCGGUAGGCCUAACACAUGCAAGUCGAACGGCAGCACAGUAAGAGCUUGCUCUUACGGGUGGCGAGUGGCGGACGGGUGAGGAAUACAUCGGAAUCUACUUUUUCGUGGGGGAUAACGUAGGGAAACUUACGCUAAUACCGCAUACGACCUACGGGUGAAAGCAGGGGAUCUUCGGACCUUGCGCGAUCGAAUGAGCCGAUGUCGGAUUAGCUAGUUGGCGGGGUAAAGGCCCACCAAGGCGACGAUCCGUAGCUGGUCUGAGAGGAUGAUCAGCCACACUGGAACCGAGACACGGUCCAGACUCCUACGGGAGGCAGCAGUGGGGAAUAUUGGACAAUGGGCGCAAGCCUGAUCCAGCCAUACCGCGUGGGUGAAGAAGGCCUUCGGGUUGUAAAGCCCUUUUGUUGGGAAAGAAAAGCAGCAGGUUAAUACCCCGCUGUUCUGACGGUACCCAAAGAAUAAGCACCGGCUAACUUCGUG
rnacentral:rRNA from 1 species